rnacentral:pre_miRNA from 1 species
AUCCAUUGCUAGGUAGGCUGGGGAUGAUCCAUCAUCCCCAGCCUACCUAGCAAUGGAU